AUGUCUGACUACAACAGUGUACUAACUAGCAGCAACAAACUCAAACCAACCCAGGGCCAUAGAAAAACAUGUCACAGGUGUUUGUAUAGUGUUAACGGUGUCACCGGUCUGAAUCUAAUCCAAUCUGGAGCCAGUCAGUCUACAUCUGUAAAGCAAAGAAUUAGCUUCCAAACCAGAGUACAUUAUUUCUCGAGCUAUGUUUAUAAUUCAGGAAUGAUGACAAUCGUUCACCCUGUUUUUCAUAGAAAAAGUGCACAGUUGGGUGCCAAACGGAUCCCAUGGUCGUUAAUGGAUGGUGGGACCUACCAGAAGGAGCCAAUUCUCUCUCAACUCAUACGAAAAGGACAUGCCAUAAUGAGGCCUCUGAUAGUGACCCGAGUUACUGAUACAUCAACAAUGACAGGUAAUGUGUGUUAUGUGAAAAUAUGUUUUUAAAAAUAUCCAGCUUAAUGAAGCAGAAGGCUAAUUCCCCAGCCAAGCAGAGACAUUUUGUUUGUGAAGUGCAUUAGAAAAAAUAAUUUUCCUUUCUUUUGAACAAAAGGCAACUUUUGACUGUCUAUUACAUCACCCCGGAACAGGCCCUCCCAGUCUACACCACCUCAUAAGAUUGCCUGCUGCAGUUGUUCGAGAGACGGCCAGUUUACAGCCGAACACGCAGCAUAGAGAAGACCAGCAAAGGGGCCCUCAUCAGCAUCAUGCAGACAUGCCCUUGCUGUGAGCAUUCAUAUGAAUGGAACAGUGAGCCACAUGUUGGCAAGUAUCCGGCCAGCAACCGUCACCUGUCAAUGGCCACAGCUUUCACAGGCUCCUCAUUUGUACAAAUACAGAAGGUAACCCACUUCAUUACUUCGAUACAUUUGUUAACCCAAUUGUAAAACAUCACUUCUGUAAACUGACUUUAUUUGUUGCUUGUUUUGUACUUCUUAGAUGCAUAUAAUGUCCAGGGCAUGUACUGCCAGUAUAAUAAGCCCGUUAGAGCUGGCCUGAAUGCUGUGUUCAGCGUUCCAUUUAACUUCACAUUGUAUGAUAUCUGAAGUGAAAUAGAGAGGUGAAUGCAGUGAUCAGGUUGGUUUCACCAGGCUACUCAUACCCAUUAUUAAUAAUGGAAUCAGUGCUCUGUGUGGGUGCGUGUGGGUGCGUGUGCCUGUGUGUGUUUGUGUGUGUGAAUCUGCGCUGCUAUGCCCAUCACUGAGGCUCUGGCAAAGACCUCACCCCCAACCUCACAUCUUGCCUGUUCACCAACAGUCGUCGAUGCGGAGAACAAAAAUUAGGUAGGUUUAGUUUGACUUGUGUCAGAUAUUAUCUAUCCUGAAUGCCAUUGUUAAUAGAACAGUGACUAUGUAUGUCAUGUAUGUGCUCAUAGAAACAUGUGGAGUCAACACAUGGAGACUUGCAAGAUAAUGUGAUGAAGUCCAGACUGACAGAUGGGCUUGAUACUCAUGCCUCUGAAUGGAGAGAGACCUGGCACUCGGCAUAAACAUUUUAUGAGACACAACUUUUACUUGUAUU
rnacentral:lncRNA from 13 species